rnacentral:rRNA from 1 species
UGGGGAAUAUUGGACAAUGGGCGCAAGCCUGAUCCAGCCAUGCCGCGUGAGUGAUGAAGGCCCUAGGGUUGUAAAGCUCUUUCACCGGUGAAGAUAAUGACGGUAACCGGAGAAGAAGCCCCGGCUAACUUCGUGCCAGCAGCCGCGGUAAUACGAAGGGGGCAAGCGUUGUUCGGAUUUACUGGGCGUAAAGCGCACGUAGGCGGACUUUUAAGUCAGGGGUGAAAUCCCGGGGCUCAACCCCGGAACUGCCUUUGAUACUGGAAGUCUUGAGUAUGGUAGAGGUGAGUGGAAUUCCGAGUGUAGAGGUGAAAUUCGUAGAUAUUCGGAGGAACACCAGUGGCGAAGGCGGCUCACUGGACCAUUACUGACGCUGAGGUGCGAAAGCGUGGGGAGCAAACAGG